rnacentral:rRNA from 1 species
CAUGCUGAGAACUUUCCAGAGAUGGAUUGGUGCCUUCGGGAACUCAGACACAGGUGCUGCAUGGCUGUCGUCAGCUCGUGUCGUGAGAUGUUGGGUUAAGUCCCGUAACGAGCGCAACCCUUGUCCUUAGUUACCAGCACGUAAUGGUGGGAACUCUAAGGAGACUGCCGGUGACAAACCGGAGGAAGGUGGGGAUGACGUCAAGUCCUCAUGGCCCUUAUAGGUGGGGCUACACACGUCAUACAAUGGCUGGUACAAAGGGUUGCCAACCCGCGAGGGGGAGCUAAUCCCAUAAAGCCAGUCGUAGUCCGGAUCGUAGUCUGCAACUCGACUACGUGAAGUCGGAAUCGCUAGUAAUCGUGGAUCAGAAUGUCACGGUGAAUACGUUCCCGGGUCUU